UCAUUGUAGCAAUACAAGGCAUACGGCUCAGUAACGCGUAGUCAACCUAACCUAUGGACGGGGAUAACCUCGGGAAACUGAGAAUAAUACCAGAUAGAACAUUAUACCUGGAAUGGUUUAUGUUUCAAAUAAUUUAUUGCCAUAGGAUGGGACUGCGGCCUAUCAGUUUGUUGGUGAGGUAAUGGCCCACCAAGACUAUUACAGGUACGGGCUCUGAGAGGAGUAGCCCGGAGAUGGGUACUGAGACACGGACCCAGGCCCUAUGGGGCGCAGCAGGGGAGAAAACUUUGCAAUGUGCGAAAGCACGACAAGGUUAAUCCGAGUGGUUUCUGCUAAAGGAACCUUUUGUUAGUCAUAGAACCACUAAUGAAUAAGGGGUGGGCAAGUUCUGGUGUCAGCCGCCGCGGUAAAACCAGCACCUCAAGUGGUCAGGAUGAUUAUUGGGCCUAAAGCAUCCGUAGCCGGGUUUGGUAGUUUUCGGUUAAAUCCAUACGCUCAACGUAUGGGCUGCCGGGAAUACUGCAAGGCUAGGGAGUGGGAGAGGUAGACGGUACUCGGUAGGAAGGGGUAAAAUCCUUUGAUCUAUUGAUGACCACCUGUGGCGAAGGCAGUCUACCAGAACACGUCCGACGGUGAGGGAUGAAAGCUGGGGGAGCAAACCGGAUUAGAUACCCGGGUAGUCCCAGCUGUAAACUAUGCAAACUCGGUGAUGCAUUGGCU
rnacentral:rRNA from 1 species